GUCCCCGUAGUUCAAUGGACAGAACGGUGAUCUCCUAAGUCACUGAUACAGGUUCGACUCCUGUCGGGGACA
rnacentral:tRNA from 1 species